AGGGACUAGCGUUGGCAAGGUAGCUGUCAGCCAGGACUGCCGCACAGUUCGCUGCCUUCGUGUCGUCACGCAGGCCUCUGUCUGGGUUGGAGAUGCAGGCUGCACUGAAGAGGGUCGCCUCCUCACCUAAGCCUGUAUUUCCAGCCCGCAGCAGAGCCUCUAGACCAG